rnacentral:SRP_RNA from 10 species
GGAAGUGCACGCAGCGCAACCACACGCGCCCGGAAGGUGGCGGCGCGGACAACCCUCUCGG